AGGGAUUCCCCCAGUAGUAGCGAAUGAAGAGGGAAAUGCUCAAGUUUGAAAUCUGAUGGGCGACCGUCAGAGUUGUAAGCUGAAGAGGUUGACGGCCGACGUGGUCCUGGGCUCAAUUUCCUUGGAACAGGAGGUCAUAGAGGGUGAGAACCCCGUCUGUGGCUCGGGCACUGACGUCCUGGCGCUGCUUCCUCGAAGAGUCGGGUUGUUUGGGAAUGCAGCUCAAAAUGGGUGGUAAAUUCCAUCUAAGGCUAAAUACUGGCGAGAGACCGAUAGCAAACAAGUAGAGUGAUCGAAAGAUGAAAAGUACUUUGAAAAGAGAGUGAAACAGUGUGUGAAAUUGUUGAAAGGGAAGCGCUUGGCAUCAG
rnacentral:rRNA from 1 species